rnacentral:rRNA from 1 species
GAAGGCUGACUGCGGCUGCGCUUCACGGCCAGUUUGCUGAGGCUGAAUUAUUUUUUCACCCAUGUCUUUUGCGCACUUGUUGUUUCCUGGGCGGGUUCGCUCGCCACCAGGACCACACCAUAAACCUUUUUAUCUGUAGUUGCAAUCAGCGUCAGUAACAAGUAAAUAAUCAUUUACAACUUUCAACAACGGAUCUCUUGGUUCUGGCAUCGAUGAAGAACGCAGCGAAAUGCGAUACGUAGUGUGAAUUGCAGAAUUCAGUGAAUCAUCGAAUCUUUGAACGCACAUUGCGCCCUUUGGUAUUCCAAAGGGCAUGCCUGUUCGAGCGUCAUUUGUACCCUCAAGCUUUGCUUGGUGUUGGGCGUUUUUGUCUUUGGCUACAGCCCAAAGACUCGCCUUAAAACGAUUGGCAGCCGGCCUACUGGUUUCGCAGCGCAGCACAUUUUUGCGCUUGCAACCAGCAAAAGAGGUGGCAAUCCAUCAAGUCUUACUUUCUCACUUUUGACCUCGGAU